rnacentral:rRNA from 1 species
AUCUGGUCAUUAGAGGAAGUAAAGUCGUAACAAGGUCUCCGUAGGUGAACUGCGGAAGGAUCAUUAAAGAAUCGCCCCGUUUUUGAAAUGGGUUCUAUUCCCAAACCGUGUAUACAUACCUUUGUUGCUUUGGCAGGCCGCAUUUUAGGCGUCGGCUCCGGCUGACUGCGCCUGCCAGAGGACCCAAACUCUUUUGUUUAGUGAUGUCUGAGUACUAUAUAAUAGUUAAAACUUUCAACAACGGAUCUCUUGGUUCUGGCAUCGAUGAAGAACGCAGCGAAAUGCGAUAAGUAAUGUGAAUUGCAGAAUUCAGUGAAUCAUCGAAUCUUUGAACGCACAUUGCGCCCCUUGGUAUUCCGAGGGGCAUGCCUGUUCGAGCGUCAUUAUAACCACUCAAGCCUUGGCUUGGUCUUGGGGUUCGCGGUUUCGCGGCCCUUAAAAUCAGUGGCGGUGCCGUUUGGCUCUAAGCGUAGUAAUUCUCUCGCUAUAGGGUCCAGGUGACCACCUGCCAGAACCCCCCAUUCUUUACGGUUGACCUCGGAUCAGGUAGGGAUACCCGCUGAACUUAAGCAUAUCAAUAAGCGGAGGA